AUGCCCAUCAGUCCUCAUACCCCAGUCUUCCAGCUGUUUGGUUAGAGUAGUACCAGUGUCCAAAGUUUAAGAGCUUGAAAUAAUUUGCAUAAACAUUUGCUUUCGUGUAGAAUUUUUUUUAGCUAUUGCAGAACUUUAUUUGCCAGUGAAGCAAACUCAUUGACUCGAAAAUCUCCCGUUAACAUGAAAGCAAUUAAUCUAAAUACUUUCAACUUAUCCCUGCUGACUGCCAAAGAAGACGUCUUGAACCCUCGUUCUUCAACCGACUGGGCGUUGUUCAGAUAUGAUGGCUUUAACAAUAACUUAAAACUGUCAGAUUCAGGAGUGGGUGGUUUGGUGGAGCUUGUGAAGAGGUUCCACAGAAAUAGGGGACUUUAUGGACUGUGCCAGGUGACCUUGAAGAAGCCAGAACACCAGCAUAUUGUUCUUAUUUCCUGGAUCGGUGAUGAUGUGGAUAAAUGCCGCAGAGAGGAAUAUGCCAGCCAUCAGCCUGCCAUCAAGGCAUUCUUCAAGGAAGCUCACAUGUUUGUCAGCGCUAAGACACUGGAAGAUGUGACAGAGGAUCGGAUAAGUGCCAUGUUCAGCACAAUGGGCACCCCAGCAGUGCAUGGGAAGAGUGGGUCUUGCUCUGUGGACAAAGAAGAAUCUGUGGGAACUAACUAUAAGAGGACAAUAGCUGUGAUGGAGAUACAAAGAAUGAAGAGGGAGUCCUUUUGGGCACGGUCAGAUAGAGAGGAAGAUGCGAGGAAAGCAGAAGAGAAGAGACGGGCAUUCGAAGAAAGGAGGCUCUUGGAAAUAAAAAGAAUACAACAGGAGCACAGAGAGGCAGAGGAGAGGGAAAGGAAGAUGAUUGAGAAAGAGAAUAGGAUACAGGAGAGGAGGAGAAUAGAGGAAGAGAAGGAGGCAGCAGCACAAAAACAGGAGAUGAUCCAGUGGGAGCAGCAGAAAAAGGAGCAUGAGGAAGAGAUGAGAGCCAGCUUCAGACGGAGUGAGUCCAUUGAGAAGGCAGCAGAGGCGGCAGCACUGGUCUCGCAACGUUCCAUCAAUCCACUGGAGUUCUUCAGGCAGCUGUCUUCAUCAUCUUCUUGUGAUCCUCCAAACCCUGCCUCCCCACUUACAGGAAAGCCUCCAUUCCGGCACUUUCAGCGCAGCUUAACUGAAAGAGCCUUUAUUUUUAAGAAGUCGGAUUUGCCGGCCCCCACCAGCAAGAGCAGCCCCCUGGUAGAGAUAUCAGUGGCUUUCAGCCCUACCUCCUCAUCACAGGCAUCUACCCAAUGCAGUCAACAUAUCCUUGAUACUGUGUCAGACUACCAACCCAGUAUUCCACCUGCUUCUCCUGGUUCCUUGGUUCCAUCCUCCACCUUGCCUCCAUCAAGAUCCCCCCCAGAUCUGUUGCCUCCUUCUUUACAGACAGCCCCCUUCCAUGCCACCACUGCUCCAGACCCUUCUCCUCUUUCUCCAUCUGUGUCUCCACCCUCAUCCCCAACUACCCCAGACCUACUUGCUUGCCAGUCACAGGCUCCAUCUAUCUCUACACUGUUGGCCUCCAUUGACCCGUCACCUGCAGAUGUGGACAUCCUGCUAAGCCCAGAAACCCUCAAUGUCACCGUGAUGCACAAUGCUGUUCAUACAAAAAAACAUGCAAGUUCAUUGAAAAGCAGUGAUGUGGAUCUGGAAGAUCUUGAGGUGGACAUUCUUGAAAUAGACUUAGGCAUCACAAAAGGAGUUGAAAAUGAAGAGUGUGGGGAAGAGGAAGCAGGUUUAUUCAACUUAAAAACAGGCUCAGACCCCCAUACCCUAGCACUUAAAACAGACUUGGCUAUCCAUUCAACAGAGGAGUAUGGAGUUGCCUUCGUCGAUCAUCAUCCUGACGCUGAGUCAGCAAUGCUAGUCACAGAUCUCAAGGAGCAGGUAGAAUGUAUGUCUAUAGAAAAAAAUGACUUUACAGAAAAAAAAGUUCCCUUCAAAGAACCCUUCAUUGAUUCAGAAGACCGAGAAAGGGAGGAAAUGCAAUGGUCUGAGUCUCCAUUGCAGGCCUCAGCUGAGACCGGGAAGAUAACCCUGUUUGGACAAGCAGAUGAAGAGGAGACAUAUGAAGUUACUGAUGAUGUAGAUCAGUCUACACUGCAGGUACAGCCUACAGUGGAUUCAAAAUGUGGGAUUAUCAAUGAACAGAAAUCUCAAAAUAUAAAUGAUCCCCCCAUGGAUUGCGAUGAUGUUGUAGAAAGCCUCCGUUCCAUUAAAGAGGACCAGUCCUGUGACUUGAUAUAUGUCAGCACAAGGCAAGAUGGGAUACAAGAAGACUCCAAAAACAUGAUAGAAACAAGCAAAGACAAUGAAGUUGAGAGCCAGAGAUACUUAAACUCCUCUGGUUGAGGCAGAAACUCAUCCCACCACCAGUAGAGGGCAAUCCACCCUUUUCGGGUUGAGAACCAUGGCCUCAGACUUGGAGUGCAUGGUGCCAUUUGCAGCCCGACAACGCCAACAGGACCACAUCAUCUGCAAAACGCAAAGACGCGAUCCUGUGGCCCCUGAACCGGACCCCCUCCGCCCCAUGGUUAUGCCUAGAAAUUCUGUCCAUAAAAGUUAUGAACAAAAUCAAUGACAAAACGCAGCCCUGGUGGAGUCCAAUGCUCACUGGGAACGAGUUUUACUGCUCGCAAUGUGAACCAAACUCUCUCUCCGUUUACACUGGGACCUGAUGGCCCACGGUCACUACAACUGCAUCAAUAUUUGGGUGUCUCUGUCUCACUGUCCCAGAAGUGCAAGUACUGAUGCACUGCGGCUUAGGAUUGCUAGGACACAGAAAUUCCUUUAAACCUAUAAUUUGAUUUUUUUUUUUUUUUUUUUUUUUUAAAGAUUAAUCAACCAGUCAUUUAGCCUAAUUGAUUUGCUUCCAAGGCGUGUUGACAAGGCAGACUGAAACCUUUGAAUCCCGCCUUAUGGUGAUAUACUUGAAUAUAUUUAUAUAUUUCUGUAUACUAUUGUGUUGUAUAAUUCAUAUAUAAUUCUUAUAUAAUUAUAUGAAUUAUUCACAAGCAUUUUUGACUGUAACAUUUACUUGUAAAUGUAGGCCUACUGUAUAAUGUAAAAAUUUUUGUUUUGUUACAUGUUCAGCUUUCUGAACACUGCAAUGCAUGCAAGGCAAAAUCAUUUACAAACGACAUGCCCAUAUUUUGGUGUUUCUCCUUCCAAAACACGUCUAUAACUCCAGACAAUGGGACAGAGCGUUAAGUGAAAAUAAUGUGCAGCUACGCCCUUUUUUGAUGUAAGCGUAUGAAGAAUCGGCCCCCAUGUGCGUAGCAAUGUACCCUAUUUUUUCUAUUUAUUUUGUAUAUAUAGAUGAUACACAGAAAUUUGUUUCAUAGAUGAUAAUAUUGUCUUGUGACAUAUUGAACUAUUUCAGCACAGUUUAUCCCCAUACAUUCACAAAAUGAAAAUUGCAGGCUAUUGUUUGUCUCAAUCUUAAUGUGGAGAAUACAGGGGAACAAAAAUCUUGUGUUUCAAGAUCAGCUUCUUUCUGGGAUUUUUUUACCACUGUCUGGUCAAACUUAUCUUCUAUCAUCUGUGUGUGUAUGUCUAGGUUUCUCUAUACUGCUUUCUCAAUGUUUUUAUAUGCAAUACAUGCAUACAACACAUUCCACUCACACAGGAAGAUAAUAGCAUGCUGUUUUUUUUAGCUAGGUGUUGCCUUUUCAUUACAAGUGGCUGUAAACACAUUCCGCUGAUAGCUAUAUCGCAUUAGGGAAGUCAUUUUUAGGCUAUACACAAAACACCCUUAUAGUAUAUGUGGGUCAGAUUAGUAGAUCUUCCAAAAUUCAUCUAUUAUUUCUUUCAGUCACUCUACAGUUAUUGUGUUUUUAGGUAUGAUAUUCUUUAAGUACAGAUCAUCUUGCCUGUACAUACUUCAAUGCCUGUUUUGUAUUCUAGGCACGUACAUCAGCUUAACAUCAAGCAUUGCUUUAUGCAAUGUUUAAAGAAAACAUACCGUCAUGCUUCAUGUUAUUUUGAAUAAAACUCUAAUCCACCCUUUUUGCUCCAGAGAAUAAGUGUCAGGAAUAUCUUCACUCAGAUAAAUAUGAAGGAUGGUGUUACAGAAUAGAACCAUGUAUUAUCAUCCAUCCAUCCAUCCAUCCAUCCAUCCAUCCUUUUUGUAUGGUCACAGGAGUCCCGGAAGACAGAGGUGCAGGGCAGGGUAUACAUGCUUUCAUAUAUACAUACACACACACAAACACACAGGUUAGUAAUUAUAUCUUUGUGGGGACUCUCCAUUAAUUUCUAUGGAGAAAACUGUAAUCCCAACAUGAUGACCUCAAGCCCUUCCUAGCCCUAACUAUUAGUAAUCAAACAAAAUACAAGAAUUUUUUAGUUUUUUGAUUGCAUUCACAAAUCUUUGUGGAGACCUGAAAAAUGGUCCCCACAACAUCAAAAUAACAGGUUUUUAUCACAUUGUGUGUGCGGGCGUGUGCGUGUGUGUGCGUGUGUGUGUGUGUGUGUUUCAUUCCUUGUAUUAAAUUGGUCACCUGUAUUGACAUUCCUGACUAAAACGAAAAAAACAACCUAAACAUAACUGUAGCACAGGGGUGGGGAGCCGGGUCCAUGGAGAGCCGUGGUAAGUGCAGGUUUUUGGGACGACCUCUUAAUCAGCCAAUAACAGUGGGGCCCAGGACUGGAGCUGAGAACAAAAGUUGUAUUAUUGCCUGAUAGAGAGUCAUUCUUUUUAUGGUUGAUGAGUAUUAUAGGAAUGUGAUAAAUGGCUGUAGUAAUAUUUACACCUGUUAUAAAUUUGUCAUAUAGUAGGCAUGUUUUUGAUUUAUUUUUUUUAAAUGGAAAUGCGUGUUGCUCUGGAUAAAGAUGUCAGCUGAUUAAAAUGUAAUCUAGAAGGUAUCCAAAAUUUCAAAUAUGAACCGACCAGUGCCAGUUUCCUCCCCCUUGAUGAACUUAAGCAACCUCACUGUCAAAAUCUCAAAUUACUUAACAAGAACAGAUUCCACCAUUAGCAGAGAUUUCUGAAUCAGCAUAGAAGUGUAAAUAAAACAAAAGUCUGGGUUAAGCAGCAGAGCUUUUCCCUGCGGUUUGUGCUAAAAGCUGGGAUGAGUACAGUAGUUGAAGAGGUUGCAGUGUCCAUGUAUGGCACAACUGAGAGCAGUGACUUGGACUGGGGUAGAUGGGGGGGGUUACACUGGCUCUGUUUGCAUGUGCUCAUUGUCUGACUAUUUCAUGCCAGCAUCAGUAGCAGUAACAGCAGACAUAUACUGUUUGUUUACUUAAAUUUUAUUUUCUUUAGCAAUUUCAGCAUGAGCAAACAUUCAAAUGUUCACACACUGCUCUUCCACCAAACUUAUGUUGUUUGUUUAAAUUGCUGAUUGACCUUAAAUAUACAUGCUCAAAAAAUAUGUCUGCAUAUUUUUCAUAUAGACAUAUACACAUAUAUAUUUUGCAAGUUAGCAUAAAGCAAAUAUCUAAUAUAUUUUCAAAGUAAAACAUGCUCAAAAAUGUGUUGGUAUAACAUGGUGGCCCAGCAAGUAGUGCUGCUCCAGUUUUGCAAGGCAAAGUAUGGCCUCAGUUUGCAGGUUUCCUUUACAGCCUAACAGUCCUGUGGGUUUAAACUUUAUUAAUCCCUGAGGGGAAAUCAGGGAAGGAGGGGGCAAGCCUAGCAGCAUAUGAGAGUAUAUAAAUCACUCUGAUUUUCUGGAUGGAUGGGAAUUCCUUACACACUAAAUAAGCAUGCAGGAUUCAAACACCUACGCAUGGUGAUGGGACGCAACUGUGCUAACUGGUGCAAAUCAGUGAGCCACCCCAGCUGAUACACCAGCUCUCGCUGGCUUCCAGUGAGGAUGGAAAUACAAAGACCUGACUUCUCUCUCUCUGUAUCCUGCAGACAACAUCCCUGGACCGCAUUGACAUUGUGGAAACUGUAGACAAGGCCUGAUAGAAAGGGUUGCAGUGGGUCUGGAGUCUAUGGGCAUAAGGCAGGGAGCCAGCUAAGAUGGACGGCCAACCCAUUGCAUGGCACACACACAUAUAGGCAAUUUGGUAACUCCAAUAUACCUCAGCAUGCUUUGGACUGCAGGGGUGAAAACCAGAGCACCCAGAGGAAACUCCACAACAAGACAGGGAGAACAUGCAAGCACCACAAACUUAGAACCUGGGCAGAGACUUGAACUCAGGUCCCAGGGCUAACUAGUUAACCACCAUGCCAUCUCUUUCUUAAGUGUUUGAUGCUCUAAAUAUUUUGUAUAUAUCUUCUCACAGUUCCAUUUUCAUUUCAAACAUGUCACUAAAAAUGCAUGAUUUUGUUCCAGCAAAUUUCAGCAGUCAACAUACCUGAUUUAAUGUACUAAAGUAUAUUUACCUUUUAUAACUGUAUCAUGCUGUUAUCUUUUUCUGUCUUUUUUGUCCAAGCACAGUGGUUUAUACUGGUUUGGUGCAUAGCUAUUCAGCUUGAGAACUGAAUAAUUUUUUGGUUUUUUUUGUUGCUUGUGGCAUACAGUAUAUAGCCUUCAUAUUGUCCACAUAAUUAUGGUUACAAUUAAAGGUUUUAUUAUUGA